GCGAAUGGGUAGCUGAGUACACAAGGCACCUGCCCGGUAAGCAGAAGGGUGUGGGUUCGAUUCCCGCCCCUGGACA
rnacentral:tRNA from 1 species